AUCCUGGUUCAGCGGUCUAUAACAGACCCCAACCAGGACACUAGCCUUGUUGGCCUUUCCACCGAUCCUAACCCACAGGGACUCGACCUUGUCAUUCCCAGCCUCGAGUUCCACAACAUCAAAAGAUUCUCUAAUAUAGAGAGCCACACUACCACCCCUUCUGUGCUGCCUGUCCCUUCUGAAGAGCCUAUAGCCAGUCAUUGCAGCACUCCAGUCAUGAGACUUGUCCCACCACGUCUCCGUGAUGCAACCAAGUCAUAGCCUGCCUGCUGCACGACGGCUUCCAUCUCCUCCUGUUUGUUACCCAUGCUGCGUGCUUUAGUGUAGAUGCACUUCAGCUGGGCCAUUGCCUUAUCCCCCAGCCUUGCCAUUGUUCCCCCUGGCACAGCUCCAACAAGCCUUGUUUCAGCCCCAUCCCCCUUCUUACCUAAUUUAAAACCCUCUCAAUGAGCCCCGCCAGCUCCUGGCCCAGGAUCCGUUUUCCCCUUAGAGAUAGGGACCCAUCUGCAGCCAUCAGGCUGGGUGCUGAGUAAAGCGCCCCAUGGUCAAAAAAAAGCAAAAUUUCUGUGCUGGCACCAGCCUCUGAGCCACAUGUUUAUCAGGUGGGCUUUCUGUGUCCUCUCUGUACCCCUCCCUGCCACCGUAGGGAUAGACGAAACCACCACCUGUACUCCUGCUCCCUCCACUAAUCGUCCCAGCCCCCUAAAGUCCUGUUUGAUAGCUUUGAGGCUUCUCUCUUCAACGUCGUCACUGCCAGCCUGGACAAUCAACAGAGGAUAAUAGUCAGAGGGGUGAACCAGGUUGGGAAGCUUCCUUGCAACAUCCCUGACCCUGGCCCCAGGGAGGCAGCAGACUUCCCUACGGGUAGGGUCAGGCCGACAAAUAGGGCCCUCUGUUCCCCUGAGAAGGGAGUUGCCUACAACAAUCACCCUUCUUUCUUUCUUGGUGGAGGCAGUCCUGAGGCGUGGAGUUGACUUCCUCACCCUAGGCAUCCUCCUGGGUAGGCUUCCUACCUCAUCCUCACCCACAGGUCCCUCAAGCUCCAGGGCCUCAAAUCUGUUGUAUAAGGGCACCUGGGAAGGCAGGACUGGAAGGGGAGGGCAUCGCCUGCGAGGUUAAGCAGGGACCUGUUUCCAUUCCUCCUCAACUCCCAGGUCCCCUCCCUCUGCCCGACAGUGACAGGGCAGGGGGUCCACCCCCAUUUGGGGUGUCUCACUGUACUGGGUCUGGCUGGAAUGUUAACUUUCCCGGCAGCAGCCCAUACAGUGCCGUACUCUGCACUUGUAGCUGGAACAGCAGUGUUAUCACACCAGUGUUGUGUCUACUGCUGAGCAGUAGACACAACACUGGUGUGAUAACACUGCUGUUCCAGCUACAAGUGCAGAGUACGGCACUGUAUGGGCUGCUGCCGGGAAAGUUAACAUUCCAGCCAGACCCAGUAUAAAUUCAGAUUUUAUAAGAGCUUGCUAAAUUCCGUAUUUGCACAGUUAGCCUGAAUUUGCUUAAAUGUAAUGAACAAUGAAUAUCAAUUAAGUGAUUACUAAUGAAAACCUAACCUAGCCUAAGCACAAUUAAUUUCUGUUGAAAUCUGAUCCCCUAAAAUUUAAGUAAAUUGACUUGGUUCUGUUUUAAUUGAAAGUGUUUUUUGUUUGUUUUGUGGUUUGUUCGUUUUUUUUUAAUUAAAUAUUUUAACAAGCCAUAUCUAUUUUAUAAAACAAGGUAUCCAAUUGCAAAAGCUUCCACUUUAAUUUGCAGAUGUAUACGUCUUGGAAAGUUAAUGCACCAUAUAUAAUGAGAAAAUUCUUGAAAGUGAUUUAAAAGCAUAUACUUGUACCCAAAGACCCUGUCUUAAAAGGGACUGAUCCUAGUAUCCAGGUUAUACUCUGCAAGAGAAAAGACUUGAUCCUCCAAGUUUUUAAGGAAUAAUAUCAUCUGAUCUCCUUAUCAAGACACAUUUAAAUGAGAGCAUUUUCCCUAAGUGUUCACUAAGAGCACUGCCAAGAGAAAGCACCAACAGCAGAGGACCACCAGAUUCAGUGUCCAUCGAUCUGCAAUAUUAGUCCUACAAAUCCCUUUCAAGACAUGAUGAUUGGAGCUGCUCUUCCUGUUGCUUAGCAUGUUCUAUCUGGAUGGUCCUUGAGAGUUCAGAGUAUGUGAAAUAAGUGGCAUCAAAUUAGGUUUGUUCAUUUAUUUCAACUUCCAGUGAAUAAAUUGUAUUUCAGUAUGGCUGUUAUACCAAAAUGUCUGAGACUUGGGGCUAUUUCUUAGAUCAGAACUAAGUUUUGAAGUGUUUUUGCCAUACUAAGCUCAAGGAAAAAGUUUGCCUUGGAAAGCUGUAUUUCCUCUCAAGCCAUUUUAAGACAAAGGAAAUAAGGUGUUACAGGAGUUACCAUUCACUUCUAGUAACUAGCCAGUUCCAGCGUUUCAGCUGAAUAUGUAAGAUGCAACUCAAAUCCCUCAAGGGCUUGUACCAGCAGGCUGGAUGACUAUCCUAAUCUCAUAGGUCUAAAGUCAUCCUUUCUGUCUGUUUCUGGGGGUGUUUAACUUUAUCAGGUCAGUGAAAUGUGGACAGACCUCUGCAUGCAGAGAUGAGGCUGAGGAAGCUGCUUUGCCCUAACACAGCAAAAUUAGGACAAAUCAGAAUGGCAGCCAGUUAGCGAAGUCCUCCAGGCUCCCACAUCCCUAAUAUUUUGUGAUAACUGUUAGGAUGACUACAGGCUAGUUGUAGAUCUACCACUUUCAUCUUCCAACUUAAGAGUAUGUGUUGUAAGCAAAUUAAAUCUGUGAAUUUUGGUCACUAGCAAUAGCCAGCAUUUCAUGAGCAGCAAUUUCAAUGAGCAGCAAUUCAGUGGUACCUGUUUCAGUGUGUUCUUUCAUUUUGUGCUUGAAUUUAACUGAUUGCUUCACUUUGGAGGGAUUUCUGAAAAUCAAUGCAACAAAUAAAUACCAGUAUUAAGUUCUAUACUUGUUUGUUAUGAAAUCCAUUGUUUUAAAUGAAAAUUUCAAUAUGCUCACAUACUACAAAAUAGGAUCAUUGUAAAUUUUAACCCAACAUUCACAUACUGCAGGGUACACCCAUAAAAUCUGUAGAGGUUAUUGGAUUUUUUUUACUUGUAGAUUUCUUUAAUAUUGAUUUAAAAGCUGUUACCCAGAAGGCUUGCUGAUACUAAGCCUUUUUUUUUUUUUUUUUUUUUUUUUACAGUGAGGAAAACCAGUCAGGACUCUUAAGUUUUCAGACACUGAUAAUAUGCAUAAUUUUGUGCAGCCUUUUAAUAAUGCAGCAAAAGGAUAUGUAAAUCUGCCAAUUUCAUUUACAGAGUUGAAAUCUGCUUCAAUAAUUCUUGUGAGAUAACGAGAUAAACUAUAUGUAUUAAUUUGCAUCAAAAGUUCAUUGACAGCCUGCUCUUAAGAACAGUUCUGGUGCUUUCUUUAUUCUCAUGUACAAGUUUGAAAUUUUAUUUUCUAAUAGAAAAAGAACAAGCAAGUGAAAAUGGGCUCUUACAUAAUGGAGCCUUCCCCUACCAGGCAGCCUGCAGUGGGGUCUAGCUAGAGUCUCUCUUCUCCAAAAGCCU
ensembl:lncRNA